rnacentral:rRNA from 1 species
AACACAAUAGGCCCACCGGAAGGUGGGCCUGGUAAAU